GAUGAACGCUGGCGGCGUGCCUAACACAUGCAAGUCGAACGGAGCUGCUUUGAUGAAGUUUUCGGAUGGAUUUAAAACAGCUUAGUGGCGGACGGGUGAGUAACGCGUGGGUAACCUGCCUCACACUGGGGGAUAACAGUUAGAAAUAGCUGCUAAUACCGCAUAAGCGCACGGUUCCGCAUGGAACAGUGUGAAAAACUCCGGUGGUGUGAGAUGGACCCGCGUCUGAUUAGCCAGUUGGCGGGGUAACGGCCCACCAAAGCGACGAUCAGUAGCCGGCCUGAGAGGGUGAACGGCCACAUUGGGACUGAGACACGGCCCAAACUCCUACGGGAGGCAGCAGUGGGGAAUAUUGCACAAUGGGGGAAACCCUGAUGCAGCGACGCCGCGUGAGUGAAGAAGUAUUUCGGUAUGUAAAGCUCUAUCAGCAGGGAAGAAAGUGACGGUACCUGAAUAAGAAGCCCCGGCUAACUACGUGCCAGCAGCCGCGGUAAUACGUAGGGGGCAAGCGUUAUCCGGAUUUACUGGGUGUAAAGGGAGCGUAGACGGCAAGGCAAGUCUGAAGUGAAAGCCCGGUGCUUAACGCCGGGACUGCUUUGGAAACUGUUUAGCUGGAGUGCCGGAGAGGUAAGCGGAAUUCCUAGUGUAGCGGUGAAAUGCGUAGAUAUUAGGAAGAACACCAGUGGCGAAGGCGGCUUACUGGACGGUAACUGACGUUGAGGCUCGAAAGCGUGGGGAGCAAACAAAAUUAGAUACCCUGGUAGUCCACGCCGUAAACGAGA
rnacentral:rRNA from 1 species